rnacentral:rRNA from 1 species
ACGGCGAGUGAAGCGGCAACAGCUCAAAUUUGAAAUCUGGCUUCGGCCCGAGUUGUAAUUUGUAGAGGAUGCUUUGGGCGCGGCUCCAACUGAGUUCCCUGGAACGGGACGCCACAGAGGGUGAGAGCCCCGUAUAGUUGGAUGCCUAGCCUGUGUAAAGCUCCUUCGACGAGUCGAGUAGUUUGGGAAUGCUGCUCUAAAUGGGAGGUAAAUUUCUUCUAAAGCUAAAUAUUGGCCAGAGACCGAUAGCGCACAAGUAGAGUGAUCGAAAGAUGAAAAGCACUUUGAAAAGAGGGUUAAAUAGCACGUGAAAUUGUUGAAAGGGAAGCGCUUGUGACCAGACUUGGGCCUGGCGGAUCAUCCGGUGUUCUCACCGGUGCACUCCGCCAGGCACAGGCCAGCAUCGGUUCUCGUGGGGGGAUAAAGGUCCCGGGAACGUAGCUCCUCCGGGAGUGUUAUAGCCCGGGGCGUAAUGCCCUCGCGGGGACCGAG